rnacentral:lncRNA from 1 species
GGUCAAAACAAAAACAAUAAACAAAACAAAACCACAUGUGGAUUUAGGAGACACGAAUAUCAGAAGAUAUAACGUAUUUGUUAUCUUGGUAGACGUAAAACCUCAACGCUACUGGAAUUCCUGUUUUCUUUUCAUAAUUGCAGUGUUGUUUUCAAGGUAUUUGUUUAAAUUUAUAUAAUUCAGAUCAGACCGCAUGUUAUUGUGAU